UCCUCGGUUGACGUCCAUCUCCAGCAGGCGUGGGAUACAGCGGAUGUUAGAGGUCCCGGCUGGGAUCUUCCUGGCCAGCCACAUGCAGCGCAUCGUCUUGUCUGUCUGCCACAGAGUCUUCAUCUUGCCUUGAUCUUUUUCGCUAUGACACACACACACACAAACACAGAGAGAGAGAGAGAGAGAGAGAGAGAGAGAGAGGAAGCAGAGGAUUACAUGGUGCUCUGUGUGGAAUGUUCUGUUGACAGUGUUAACAGCAGAUGUGGUUGGGGGAUACAGGGUUAGGUGUGUUAGUAGUUGAUGUGGUUGGGGGAUACAAGGUGUGUUAGUAGUUGAUGUGGUUGGGGGAUACAGGGUUAGGUGUGUUAGUAGUUGAUGUGGUUGGGGGAUACAAGGUGUGUUAGUAGUUGAUGUGGUUGGGGGAUACAAGGUGUGUUAGUAGUUGAUGUGGUUGGGGGAUACAAGGUGUGUUAGUAGUUGAUGUGGUUGGGGGAUACAAGGUGUGUUAGUAGUUGAUGUGGUUGGGGGAUACAGGGUUAGGUGUGUUAGUAGUUGAUGUGGUUGGGGGAUACAGGGUUAGGUGUGUUAGUAGUUGAUGUGGUUGGGGGAUACAGGGUUAGGUGUGUUAGUAGUUGAUGUGGUUGGGGGAUACAGGGUUAGGUGUGUUAGUAGUUGAUGUGGUUGGGGGAUACAAGGUAUGUUAGUAGUUGAUGUGGUUGGGGGAUACAGGGUUAGGUGUGUUAGUAGUUGAUGUGGUUGGGGGAUACAGGGUUAGGUGUGUUAGUAGUUGAUGUGGUUGGGGGAUACAAGGUGUGUUAGUAGUUGAUGUGGUUGGGGGAUACAAGGUGUGUUAGUAGUUGAUGUGGUUGGGGGAUACAGGGUUAGGUGUGUUAGUAGUUGAUGUGGUUGGGGGAUACAGGGUUAGGUGUGUUAGUAGUUGAUGUCCCUGAUAUUGGGAGAAAUUAUUAUCAGAGGGUUCUAUCUAGAGAUGGAAAAGUUCAACUUACCUCGAGAUAAAACUAAAAGUAAACAAAACACUGAGCUAAAUGACGUGGUGUGUUGUGUUUGUGUGUAGC